ACAGUUCUGAGACUGCCUCCGCAGAGCAGAGCUACCCUCUCUGCCCUGUAGGAAGAGGAGAGCAGCUCAGGGCAGUUUUGUAGUCAUAUUUAAACCCACAUUUAAUUUCCUGCAGAUUAAGGACAGUUUAUGCAGAAAUCUCUAAGGAAGGGAUGAUAACUUUGGGGUCACUGAGUCAUUGCCCUGGAAAGGAGUGGGAACUCCCAGUGUUGCCACGGCAAUGGUAAACUCACACGGCACUGGGUGUAUGUCUGAAUGAAAGCUGCUUCUGCCCCAGCCCUGUUUUAGCUAGUCCCCAGUCUGGUCCGGUGCUCGAGCCCCACCUCUGGAGUCAGUCCCACCUUCUACCUCAGUUCUGUUUGUAGUUUUUUGAGGAACCUCCACACUGCUUUCCACAGUAGCUGUACUGGUUUACAUUCCCAUGAACAGUGUAAAGAGUGCCUUUGGUUAUUUUAUAUCUUUCUGAUGAAGCCAUCAUAACUGGGGUGAGGUGAUAUAUCAGCAUCGUGGUUUGACGCUGAGAGGAAACAGGUUGAGCAUCUGUGGUGCUGGGAAGUUCUUGAAUGCCACCCUCAGGAGUGACCCUCUAGGGUCAUGCUUCUACGAAGAUAGGGGUCGAGGAAGGGCUUCCAGCCAGGGGCAGACCUUACCAACGUGUAGACCCUGGCAGCAGGAGAAGAACUAGAUGUGGGGGAGGAGGGUCAGAGGGGAGAGGAUGCGCUGGUGGCAAGUGCCCUACCUGCAGACGCUGCAGUCCUCCCCGCAGUCCAGGCCCACUGCACUACAGGGAGCAGCCUGGCAGCCUUCUCUCAGCCGCGGCCCUGCUCAGCACCUCUUGUGCACGUGGAAGGGGCUCCAUGCCCUGCAGAGGAGCAGAGGAAGGGGAUGCAGGGAAACAGAGGCAGGUAGAAAACUAGGUGGGCCACAAAUGGCUGGGAUCUUCCCUCCACCGUCGUGUGUGGGCUGGCUGGUCACUGUCCCCAGAGCCUCGACGUCUGCACCUGUGAGAUGACACCUGCCUGCCCACCUCUGAGCAUCCCAGAGGUGCCGCCGCCCCGGGUGAGGCCAGGCUGCUGGAAAGGGCUCCAGACAUUGUCACACACGGAGUGGGACAGGAUGAGCGUUCCAGCCUUUCACUGAAAGUUCUGUUUAUACGUAGCUGCCAAACACCUUGGUGUGUGGACUAUUCCUCCAAGCCGGGAAGGAACUUGUCCCACCCAAAAUGGGGCAGCGCUGGGGCUCAGCAGGAGACUGUCACGCCCCCAACCCAAAGCAGGUGUGUGAGGAGCGGGCAGCAAAGGGGAUGCAGGCCCCCAUCCCGAUGAGUUUCCAUUCACAGUAGGACUCCCUGGAGGUCCUCAACCAGGUGGCCCCUGAAUAGGGGCCUGGGGACUGGCUGGAGUCAGCCGACAUUAGCUGGAGCACACGUCAGAGAAACACAAUCCACUGGCCUAGAGCUCCCGUCCCUGCCCUGUCUCUAACUUGGCCUUUGAUGCCUUUUAUUUUUCUUUCCUCAAAUGCACAUUAUUAACUGCAGAUGCCCAGCUGAGAAGAUGAGAGAAAGUUAAUGAAAUUACACGAAUGCUUUGCUGAGUUCCCUUUCACACCACAGCUUGUUAAGUUAAAACAGCAGUGUGAAGGGUGAAGUUCUCUGUGAAGUUUCUGGAUGUGGCCCUGGCCUCAGGGAGGCUUGUGAGGUGGUCAAGGAAGCCUGGUAGAAGACACCAGUCACACGUGGGCCUUCCUGUGUGGCCUGUUCUUUCCCUUGCUGGUCUCCUGUCUCAAGUGCUGCCAUCCCUGCUCCUCAUCACGUCUGUGGGACUGACCACUCCCUGCUUUGACACACCCCGCUCCUUGUCCUCCAGCCUGGGCUCAGGGACUGACCACUCCCUGCUUUGACACCCCUACACCCCUCACUCCUUCCCGUUCCUUGUCCUCCAGCCUGGGCUCAGGGACUGACCUCUCCCUGCUUUGACACACCUCACUCCUUGUCUUCCAGUUUGGGCUCAGGGACUGACCACUCCCUGCUUUGACACACCCCGCUCCUUCUUGCUCCUUGUCCUCCAGCCUGGGCUCAGGGGCUGACCUCUCCCUGCUUUGACACACCUCACUCCUUCCCGCUCCUUGUCCUCCAGGCUGGGCUCAGGGGCACUCUCCCACAGGACUGUAGGGUCAUUUCCGUGACUCAGUUCCUGGUUUGCAUGUCACCCCCCACCUCCCUUUCUGCAACUGCCCGUCCUCUUCAUAUCCAGUUUUUAUUUCUCAUGUUUUUUGUUUAUUUUCCCUGUAGACGUGUGAGCCCUGUGAGGAAGGAAACCUCAGCUCAUGAGACAUUGACUAGUGUGUGACCUCGAGCAAGUUGCCACCAUCAGUCAGAUGAGUAAUGUGGUGCCUGCCUUUGGGGCUGUGAUGGGAUUGAAUGAGCACAGCUGCAUGUUUCACCUUGCACGGAGCCUGGCACGUGGGAACCCCGGCUGACAGAAUCCAGUGCACGGAAGAAGGAGUGAGCUAGCGGAGGAGUGACGGUGUCCGCACACGGGAGCUCGCCCAGCGUGGUGCAGACGGUGCUGUCAGCCUGAACCUCUGUCAUGUAGUUGCUUUUUGUUUCAAGUUCCUCGAGUGAGUAGUAAAUACUUCAACCAGUCAGAGUUCUCAAAUAAAGCUCAGUGAACAUGUGUAGUGAUUCAUUCAACGUUUACUCUGUGUCUACAUAAAGUAGGCUGAGGCUAGAAAUGGCAACUAGCACAUGUAGCAUGCCUUGGGGAUCGAAAUAUAACGGAGGAGACAGCGUGUGAAAUGAAUUUUGCAGGCAUCUGAGGCCUAAGAUCUCAGGGAAGUGGCUGUGGGACUGUGGGGCCACUGGUGGUCCUUCCAGAUGCUACAGAUGACGCCCUGUGGCCCCUCUUCCCACAGUGGGUGACUUUUAUGAAGUCUUUGGUGGCUGCACGUCAUCACUGGACAGCCCAGCUUGAACCGCAGCCCCUUUACUUCACUUCCUCAGCUGUGAAAUGGGAACAGGAAUGGCAGAGCCUGCUUUGGAGGCUGUCUGAGGAAUGAGUGGGAAGCUGCAUGCUGUUCACAUCUCUUCCUCUUCUCCAAUAGUCCUUAUGUUGUCCAUGGCGUGGGCUGGCCAGCACUGGACCUCAGGACUUCUGAUUGUGCCAUUUCAGAUUCAAUGAGACUCAUUUUUCCCACUGAAAGCUCAGAUUAGCUUAGCCUCUGCCCAGGCAUGAGCACAACAGCCCACCUGUGAGGCUACAGGCAAGGUGGAGUCAGUCACCCACGGAGGAGUCACUUCCCUUGAAGUCCUAAGCUUUGCAGAGGUGGCUGCAGUCUCUCUCUCUGGUCAGAACGCAUGGUGCAGCCAUCGGAGAUCUUUGCCAAUGGACAGUAGCAAGAGGGGUGGAGAAAAAGACCGGAGUGUGGAGAGUCCCACCUCACUGAAGGCCGGCGGAGGGCGUGGCUUGGCAGGAUGGUGUCCAGUGUGGAACACAGGAGGAGCCCCGGCGAAGGGAAACCAGGUCGGGAGCAUCAGCCGUGUGAAAUCAUGGAGGGAAUCCUUGUUCUCCCGCUGCCUCCUUGGGUCUGCCGUCUCCCUGUCCCUCAGAAACUGUCCCUCCUCGUGGCUUGCUGACUGUGCUUUAUGAAACUCACACUCACGGUUUCCCGUGUUUUCUGAAGCAGUGGUGAGUCUGGUUCUGGACUGGUUUUGUUUCCAGAUGGUUCCCUUCUGUCUUUUUCCUCCCCACUUCCAGCGGGCACGUGGUUUCCCAGGGCCUCAGGUGUUCUGUCUGCUCUAGGGGAGGCUGGGAUGUCCAGACUCUCCUCACAGAAGCUGAGAUGUUUUGCUGCGCCUUAGGGAAUGGGGAGCAGUGGGGAGUCAUGGAAUCCCUGGUCUCUACUCCACCCCCGAGCCCCUGCUGAGAGCCUCCCUGGGGGUGGCCCAGGCUGAGAUCUCCCCACCUGGCCCUCCUCGGGGCUCCUGCGUCUGAGACAGACAAUCCUCUGCUUGCCCGCUGUUCCCCAGCAUGUUUCCAACUCUGGCAAAAAGGACAGGAAAGUUGAGGGUUCCCGUCCAGUGUCUGUCUCCAGGCACAGAGUCUCAGCACCAGCUCUCAAAGCUCCAUUUGCUCACCUGGGCAGCUGCAGGAGGCGGGGGAGGAGCCAGGAGUGCAGCAGCCCCCUGAAACUUCCCAGGAUGGCUGGUUUUGGGGGUUAUCACAUUAGUUUUCUCCCUCCAGUUUUAGCCACUGUAGGCCAGUUUGUUCACAGAGUUUUACCAACUUCGGCUCAUUUCAUUAACUUAUCAGAGGGGGGAAUUCUGAGGUCCCUAAACCAGAGGCUUUCAUGGAUGUGGCUCCCACUGUGGCCCUGGCAGGGAGGUCCCAGGAGCCCCAGGUGGAGCCUCUGACCUAAGGCCUUUGGCUCUAGAGCCUGGAGCCUCGCUGCAAGGCUGCCUGUGAAACAACCCAGCCUGGAGCCCAGGCUGCUGGUUAUCUGAAGACAGCCUCCCGGUAAGAUUUCUCUGAGACAAGAAACAAUUAUGCAAAUUAUCCUAAUUCUGUUUUAAAGAAUAGAGAGAUUGAUUGAAGAGACAGACCAUUGACGCAGGCAAUGCAGAAGGUGUUUCCACGCUAAUCUGCCUUCAAAGGAGAGGGAUUUUGUUUGUAAACUUCAGACCCGGAAAAUUGAUUGUUCUGUCAACUUUAGGUAAUUAUCUGUCCUCCCUGAGGCACUAAGCUUAGCAGAAAUGUUCUUUCUCUGAAUCAGUACUGGCUUUGGAUCUCUGUUGGGUUCCCUGUGGAGUCUAAAUCAGAGAUUCCCCCCAAAGCAGUGGAUCAGGAACCUUCCUCCAGUCACAGUGUCCACCCUGCCUGCAGGAAAAUGGACAGAGGGACCCUCACUCUGGAUGACUGAAGAACUAGAACCCAGGCUCCCUUGAUCUUCUCUCCCAAAACCUGAUGACAUGGAGACCCUCCCCCAGCUGAAGGGGCAGGUUCGUGCUGUAGAGUGGGGGGAGUCAGCGUGGGUGGCACGUGAGUGUUUAGCUCAGGUGUGGGCCUCACAAAAUAGUCAAAACAAGUCAGCCAGGACUGCAGCAACCUUCACUGGGUGAGAGACGCCAGCACCAUGGCCCCAGCCUGACAGCUGGGCAGGCCACGUAAUGUGUGGGGCCGAGUGGAAAUUUUGCUCAACAUCAUGAUCUUCCAGGUGGCAGCAGCAGAACGUUACACUAUUCCGGGGCCCUUCUGAGCACAGGGCUUGGUAUGACCGCACAGGGAUACCUGGCAGGCCAGGUGCAG